rnacentral:rRNA from 1 species
UACGUAGGGUGCAGGCGUUAAUCGGAAUUACUGGGCGUAAAGCGUGCGCAGGCGGUUUGCUAAGACAGGUGUGAAAUCCCCGGGCUUAACCUGGGAACUGCGCUUGUAACUGGCAAGCUAGAGUGUGGCAGAGGGGGGUGGAAUUCCACGUGUAGCAGUGAAAUGCGUAGAGAUGUGGAGGAACACCGAUGGCGAAGGCAGCCCCCUGGGUCAACACUGACGCUCAUGCACGAAAGCGUGGGGAGCAAACAGG